rnacentral:rRNA from 1 species
CGGGGGGAGCAAGCGUUGUUCGGAUUUACUGGGCGUAAAGGGCGCGUAGGCGGCCACCGCAAGUCGACUGUGAAAUCUCCGGGCUUAACCCGGAACGGUCAGCCGAUACUGCGGGGCUAGAGUGCAGAAGGGGCAACUGGAAUUCUCGGUGUAGCGGUGAAAUGCGUAGAUAUCGAGAGGAACACCUGCGGCGAAGGCGGGUUGCUGGGCCGACACUGACGCUGAGGCGCGAAAGCUAGGGGAGCGAACGGGAUUAGAUACCCCGGUAGUCCUAGCCUUAAACGAUGAAUGCUUGGUGUCUGGGGUUUUAUAGUCCCCGGGUGCCGUCGCUAACGCUUUAAGCAUUCCGCCUGGGGAGUACGGUCGCAAGACUG